rnacentral:rRNA from 1 species
GUGGGGAAUAUUGGACAAUGGGCGAAAGCCUGAUCCAGCCAUGCCGCGUGUGUGAAGAAGGUCUUCGGAUUGUAAAGCACUUUAAGUUGGGAGGAAGGGCAGUAAGUUAAUACCUUGCUGUUUUGACGUUACCGACAGAAUAAGCACCGGCUAACUUCGUGCCAGCAGCCGCGGUAAUACGAAGGGUGCAAGCGUUAAUCGGAAUUACUGGGCGUAAAGCGCGCGUAGGUGGUUUGUUAAGUUGGAGGUGAAAUCCCCGGGCUCAACCUGGGAACUGCCUCCAAAACUGCAUGACUAGAGUACGGUAGAGGGUAGUGGAAUUUCCUGGGUAGCGGUGAAAUGCGUAGAUAUAGGAAGGAACACCAGUGGCGAAGGCGACUACCUGGACUGAUACUGACACUGAGGUGCGAAAGCGUGGGGAGCAAACAGGAUUAGAUACCCCGGUAGUCC